rnacentral:rRNA from 1 species
UGGGGAAUAUUGGACAAUGGGCGCAAGCCUGAUCCAGCAAUGCCGCGUGUGUGAAGAAGGCCUUCGGGUUGUAAAGCACUUUUAUCAGGAGCGAAACGCUGUCGGCUAAUACCCGGCGGAACUGACGGUACCUGAGGAAUAAGCACCGGCUAACUUCGUGCCAGCAGCCGCGGUAAUACGAAGGGUGCAAGCGUUAAUCGGAAUUACUGGGCGUAAAGCGUGCGUAGGCGGUUUCUUAAGUCUGCUGUGAAAUCCCCGGGCUCAACCUGGGAAUGGCAGUGGAUACUGGGGCAGGCUAGAGUGUGUGCAGAGGGUGGUGGAAUUCCCGGUGUAGCGGUGAAAUGCGUAGAGAUCGGGAGGAACAUCCGUGGGNGAAGGCGGCCACCUGGACAACACUGACGCUGAGGCACG